rnacentral:tRNA from 1 species
AUCUUUUUAGUAUAAUUUAAUUAUGUUUGACUUCCAAUCAAAAGAUCUUAAUUAAGAAAAGAUA